GACGAACGCUGGCGGCGUGCUUAACACAUGCAAGUCGAGCGGUAAGGCCCUUUCGGGGUACGACGAGCGGCGAACGGGUGAGUAACACGUGGGUGACCUGCCCUCCAGCUCUGGGAGUAAGCCUGGGAAACGUGGGUCGUAAUACUGGAUAUGACUCCACGGUGCAUGUCGUGGGGUGGAAAGCCUUGUGCGGCUGAGGAUGGGCCCGCGGCCUAUCAGCUUGUUGGUGGGGUGAGG
rnacentral:rRNA from 1 species